rnacentral:rRNA from 1 species
UACGGAGGGGGCUAGCGUUGUUCGGAAUUACUGGGCGUAAAGCGCACGUAGGCGGCUUUGUAAGUUAGAGGUGAAAGCCCAGGGCUCAACCCUGGAAUUGCCUUUAAGACUGCAUCGCUUGAACAUCGGAGAGGUAAGUGGAAUUCCGAGUGUAGAGGUGAAAUUCGUAGAUAUUCGGAAGAACACCAGUGGCGAAGGCGACUUACUGGACGAUUAUUGACGCUGAGGUGCGAAAGCGUGGGGAGCAAACAGG